rnacentral:rRNA from 1 species
GACAGAGGGUGCUAGCGUUGUUCGGAAUUACUGGGCGUAAAGGGCGCGUAGGCGGCUCGUUUAGUCGGGUGUGAAAUCCCGGGGCUCAACCCCGGAACUGCAUUCGAUACUGGCGGGCUAGAGACCGGAAGAGGUGAGUGGAAUUCCCAGUGUAGAGGUGAAAUUCGUAGAUAUUGGGAAGAACACCGGUGGCGAAGGCGGGUCUCUGGGCCGAUACUGACGCUGAGGAGCGAAAGCGUGGGGAGCGAACAGG